GACUCUCGGAAACAGAUAUCUAGGCUCUUGCAUCGAUGAAGAAAGUAGCGAAAUGCGAUACUUGGUGUGACUUGCAGAAUCCCAAGAACCAUCGAGUCUUUGAACGCAAGUUGCGCCCAAUGCCAUUAGGUUGGGGGCACGUCUGCCUGGGUGUCC
rnacentral:rRNA from 1 species